AUCGCUGCAAUGGAAGCAGGACGCAAAAAAUGAAAGUUACUGUUACACUAGUCUGGACAUCUUGCCAUGCCAACAUUGAAACAAAGGUUGCCUAAAUGCCAUGUGGGCUAUAUACAUUUGCUGUGAGCUUACUAAUUGAUUGCGCGUUUUGUGUAGAUUUGGACUUUAUACAUUUUUUUCCACUUUGUUUAAACUGCAAAGUGAAGAGUCCUCGUUCACCUGUUUAGAGCUGGUUGGUGAAUGUGAUGCAUGUAGAGAUACACCGUGUAGAGAUACACCGUGUAGAGAUACACCAUGUAGAGAUACACCGUGACCAUUUUUGUAGAUCUACUGAUCGCAGUGGAUUACUUUUUUUGUUUCAUUGGAUCAGGUCAAAAUACCGAACAUUUUUCUAAGCGUUUUAUGGUGUGAUUGUGCUUUGUUUCUGCGUCUACAACAGACUGCAGGUUGAACACUGAUUGUUCACUGUUACAUUUUAGUUGAAUUUAAGUGUCUGGCAUUCUGCCACCGUCUCUCCAUUGCAUUCCAAGACAGCCGUGCCGCGACUGGCUUUCAUAAGGGCAAAUUGUUACAUUAAUUGUUACAUUUUUACAUUUUAAUUCAAAAUCUGCUUUAGGCCAGGUCUCAACUGCUACAAUAAGGCUGUUGUUGUUGUUUUUUGUUAUCCUCUGGCUGUUGUUGAGUUAUAAAAAGUUGAAAACAGUGUGUUUCUGUUUUCAGUAUGAUGCAGCCAGGAUAGGACUAAUAUGCAUUUUGUCCGUGAAGAGGUCAAGAUGGCCCAUUUGUGUCUCACCCACACCCUCUGUCUUUGCCAGAUCAAUUAGAACUGAAAACUAUUUAUCAUACAGAAAGAACCCGAUUGUUUCCCACCAGGAAGUAACUUUCUGUCUGCUACCCCCUGGGGUCUUAGACUAGGCUAAGACAAUAAAAUGUUGAUUAAACUGAAUUGAUGUUAGAAUUUCACAUUUACACGAUAGAACAUUUUGAUCUGUGACCAAAAAUGACCCAAAAGGGGUGGAGUUUAGAGCCAUAUCCUUCCUCAUUGGACAGAAAAGAUGCGCUUGGCAUGUUCCCAUGCCAAUAACAGACCAAUGAGAAUUGAUUUGAAUGCACCAGGUGAAAAGGAACCGCCCCAAGGCGCAGGGGAUAAAUGUGUGUGAAUAAGGAAUAAUCAAGACUGGUCUCAUGCAACUCCAUCAUGGGGGAAGCAUGGAUCGGUCCACUGUCAGCUGCAAUGUUGUCAUGUUGUUUGUGUCAUACUGUCUUUGUCUUAUCAUCUUCAUCAUUCUGUUUCAUUAAACCUUUUCUUAAUUCUCAAUUGGACCCGAGCCUCCUUCCUCAGUGAUCCAACGAACACAAAGUUAGAAAAUUCUAACACUGUCCUGCAUAAUUAACAUCGCUAAAGCAGAAGAAGCGACCACGGAAGACAGAUUUACAAGACUAUCGUCCACUUGAGAGUCAGAGGCAGAGGCACUAGCACCAGCGGUGGUUGUGCUGCAUCUUGGGGUGGCAGAGACAAAGGUGUGCUAGAUGUUGUGAAUCUGAGCUCUCCUUCAUCUCCUGGUUGCAGAUGACUCUGAGAC